AUGAAGGGCAGUGAUGCCUAUCUGAGGAGAGACGGGACAGAGUUGUCUCAACCCUGGGAGAGAGGGGACAGAGAUGUCUCAACCCUGGGAGAGAGGGGACAGAGAUGUCUCAACCUGGGAGAGGGGACAGAGAGUCUCAACCCUGGGAAGAGGGGACAGAGAUGUCUCAACCCUGGGAGAGAGGGACAGAGAUGUCUCAACCCUGGGAGAGAGGGGGACAGAGUGUCUCAACCCUGGGAGAGAGGGGACAGACAGUGUACUUAUUGGAUCCUGGGUGAAGAGAUUUGGGCUUUAGUGAUUUUAACACCCCUGGACCCGGAGCAAGCCCUCACUUGUAACACUGGUCCAAUAGGGCACAGAUACUGUUAGAGGAGGGAGGGUUGUCUCUGUUUGCUGCCGUGGCGGUUUUAAUGCUAUUAGACAGCCUUAACUCUGGUCCUAUAGGUGCUGUUACAUCACACUAGCACGAACAGGAGACCAAACAGACAGGGGAAAACAACGGACUAUUGGCAGUUAAAGACAAAAUGGACACCAACUAACUGCAAAUGGUAGAUUCCAUAUUUUGUCACGCUCAGAAGGUCAAAAGGUUAUUUGGCCAGCUGUUUCAUACAGUGCUGUGCUGCUUGUAUAUUGAUUUGCUUUUGUCAUUCAUUCAUUAUUAUUGGUAUUGUCUGGUCUAGUCUCACUAGCUGCUAUGUUACCAAGUCAUCACCCCACGAUGAGCUAAUUAUCUGAUGGAAAUGAUACCCACACCAAACCACACACACACAUUUCAUUAUUGACUCAGAAGGGGGAGAGUACGAUCUCUUAAAGUGCUUACUUACGCAUGUCUGUCAUUCAUUAAGUUACUGUCUGUCAUCAUUAAGUCACUGUCUGUCAUUCAUUAACUCACUGUCUGUCAUUCAUUAAGUCACUGUCUGUCAUUCAUAAGUCACUGUCUGUCAUUCAUUAAGUCACUGUCUGUCAUUCAUUAAGUCACUGUCUGUCAUUCAUUAAUCACUGUCUGCCAUUCAUUAAGUCACUGUCUGUCAUUCUUACUCACUGCUGUCAUUCAUUAAGUCAUGUCUGUCAUCUAGUCACUGUCUGCCUUCAUUAACUCACUGUCUGUCUUAAGUCACUGUCUGCCAUUCAUUCAGUCACUGUCUGCCAUUCAUAAUCACUGUCUGUCAUUCAUUAAGUCACUGUCUGUCAUUCAUUAAGUCACUGUCUGUCAUUCAUUAAGUCACUGUCUGCCAUUCAUUAACUCACUGUCUGUCAUUCAUUAACUCACUGUCUGUCAUUCAUUAAGUCACUGUCUGUCAUCCAUUAACUCAUGUCUGUCAUUAGUCACUGUCUGUCAUCUUAAGUCACUGUCUGUCAUUCAUUAAGUCACUGUCUGCCCUUCAUUAAGUCACUGUCUGUCAUUCAUUAAGUCCUGUCUGUCCGUGUGCAGCUGUAGACCGUAUUGUUCUAACAGGAACAUGACAAACAACCUCCAUUAGCUUUCUAUGGAUUUACUGUCAGUGACAUCAUAUGCAUCCUAAAUGAUUCCCUAUAUAGUGCAUUACUUUUGACCAGGGCACAAAGGUGGGGACCAGGGCCCAUAAGGGGGG
ensembl:lncRNA